rnacentral:rRNA from 1 species
GUAGGGUGCAAGCGUUAAUCGGAAUUACUGGGCGUAAAGCGUGCGCAGGCGGUUCGCUAAGACAGAUGUGAAAUCCCCGGGCUUAACCUGGGAACUGCAUUUGUGACUGGCGGGCUAGAGUAUGGCAGAGGGGGGUAGAAUUCCACGUGUAGCAGUGAAAUGCGUAGAGAUGUGGAGGAAUACCGAUGGCGAAGGCAGCCCCCUGGGCCAAUACUGACGCUCAUGCACGAAAGCGUGGGGAGCAAACAGGAUUAGAUACCCUGGUAGUCCACGCCCUAAACGAUGUCAACUGGUUGUCGGGCCUUCAUUGGCUUGGUAACGUAGCUAACGCGUGAAGUUGACCGCCUGGGGAGUACGGUCGCAAGAUUA